GUGCAGCUGAAGGACUGGGUAAUGAAGACACCCUCAAAUCACUGGAAAGGGAGCCCUGAAAAAUAUGAUAUCCACAUAUCAGAGAAAUGCCAUGCAGUUAGGCAUGACUGGCAGUCCUCUGCUCAAGAAAGACCCAAGACUGAAGUAUCAGGGAUGUUGCAGACAGUGCAGCUCAGGGAAUAAUCUUCAGAUGACCUUGUCAAGAUAUAUCCAAGAACUGUGGCUUUAAUUAUUUUUGAAAACAUGAAUGCUCCAUGACAAUGGUUAUGAGAUCCCUGGAAUAUCUCUUAUGAAGUUCACAUUUUAAAUAGUCCUUGGGUAUGAAAUUUUAAAACUUACACAUCUAUGUAUUGAACUGUGAUUUCUUAAAAUAGAAAACUGGCAUUUUGUAUAUUGUUUCAGGUUACCAAAGGCUUCAUAAAUAAAAGGACUAAGAAUCAAUACCAAUG